GUUUUUGUCUACAUGGCUGCAGAGACUGGCCAGGGUUUUGUCUGCCAUCCACCUUCAGAACGGUGGAAACAGUUGAAAAGAACAUUGAGGUGAAGCUUGGGCUGGUUUGUAACCAGGAACAACGGAGAUAUGGUGUUUUCAGACAAGGGAAUAAAUUCCCGGAAGCAAGUGGCCAGGAAUGAAAAUCCUGGAGAACAAAGUGGAAUAAACCCGUAUUCAACGGUUCCUGUUGAUUUUCUUUCCUCCCUAAACACUGACCUCCCGCAGUCUUCACCAGCAGUAGAGCUGAAUCCCUUGAAAACACUCAUAGCACGAUGACAAGGUUUGGCAGCUGCAGUCUUGAAGACCAGGAAGUGAGGUGGGUAAAUACCUAGGAUGUACAGCCUCAUGCUUGUCAGUGCCCCUAGAGCGGGAGCCUCAGCAGCUGGGUUCCAGUUCCUGACUAGUGCUUGCUGGGUGCUCCUGGGGGCUCGCCUUCCCUGCUCGGGUGCUCCUUGUCUUUUGAGGGAGGGAAACGGUAUCCACUACGGGCAGCGAGGGUCUCUCUGAGUGCCACUCUGCCACUCUCUGCUGGGGUCCCUCCAUGCUGUCUGUCCCUGUGGCUCCCCCAACCCCAUGCCCAUCUGCUCCCUUCUCUGCCAUCGUCCCUCCUUUCACGGCAAUUGUCCCGCUGUCCCUUCACAGCCUAUCUCUCCCCUGAGCCUCUGGUGGUGUGAUUCAUCUCCCUCUGGUGGACUCAGGGCUGGCCAUGCGCUGCCUGCAGCUUGCACUAAUCAUAAUAGCAGCCACAGCUAAUACGUGAAUUGCUUUUCAGAGUUCAAGGAGGCUUCCAGCCUCACGAGCCCUUGGAUCCUUGCAAUAGUCCCUUGAAAUGGUAAGACUUUGGAUGCUUUAUACAUUUAUGUAAAAUGUAUUUUACAUUUAUAAAUGGAUGCAUUUAUUUUGGUUUUAAUAACAUAUUACUUUCUCAGGAACACAUAUUUAAACAGACAUUUUUGUUGAUCAAUAACAAUAAAGCUUUUUAAGAGUUUAUAUAAUCUACACUAAAUCUUUCACAAAAGCUAGGAGUAGAAUAUGAUAUAAUAGGCACUAAUUACUCUAAUUUUCUCUUACAUAGGGCAAGAAUAAAUACCUCGCAUUUUAUAGUGCUUUAUACUUCACCAGAAAAACCAAACCUACAUUUAAUUCCCAAUAUAAUAGGCUCAUCCAGCAAUCUUUGAGGUGAGGGAAACAAGACUUAUUAUCUCAAGUUUUAUGGUGGAGGAAAUAAAGGUUUAUGAUAAGUGAAAUAAUUUGUUCAGAGUUGCAAAUACCUCGUAGAUAGCAGAGUAGAGUUUGA
rnacentral:lncRNA from 1 species